rnacentral:rRNA from 1 species
CCCCCCUGCUUACCAUGCAAGUCGAACGCUGAAGCACUUUCGGGUGUGGAUGAGUGGCGAACGGGUGAGUAACACGUGGGUAAUCUGCCCUGCACUCUGGGAUAAGCCUUGGAAACGGGGUCUAAUACCGGAUAUCACAACUUCAGGCAUCUGGGGUUGUUGAAAGUUCUGGCGGUGCAGGAUGAACCCGCGGCCUAUCAGCUUGUUGGUGGGGUAAUGGCCUACCAAGGCGACGACGGGUAGCCGGCCUGAGAGGGUGACCGGCCACACUGGGACUGAGACACGGCCCAGACUCCUACGGGAGGCAGCAGUGGGGAAUAUUGCACAAUGGGCGCAAGCCUGAUGCAGCGACGCCGCGUGAGGGAUGACGGCCUUCGGGUUGUAAACCUCUUUCGCCAGGGACGAAGCGCAAGUGACGGUACCUGGAUAAGAAGCACCGGCUAACUACGUGCCAGCAGCCGCGGUAAUACGUAGGGUGCGAGCGUUGUCCGGAAUUAUUGGGCGUAAAGAGCUCGUAGGCGGUUUGUCGCGUCGGCCGUGAAAUCUCCACGCUUAACGUGGAGCGUGCGGUCGAUACGGGCAGACUUGAGUUCGGUAGGGGAGAC